CUUUUGCGGGGUCCAGCAUCUCUAAGGAAAAGAGGAGAGGGAGGAGGUGUAUUCUGCUGGGUGGAUCCAGUUCUGAGGGAAUGUCUUGUUUUGGCCCGUCUUGAUGGUUCUGAGUGGCCCACCACAAGGCGAGGAACUCCUCCCCAUCUGUGGCACUUCACAGGAUGGGCUGGGCACCUCUGGAGACCCUUUGAUGUGCAUCUUAUUUUAAAGCUCACAGAUAUGUAGGACUGGGAGACAGGGCCAUUCACAUCAUGGUUUGCAAACCCGUCUGACUUGCACACCCAAGUGCUGCUGUGGGCUAAUGCCUGCAGUUCGCAAAGGUGGCCGUGAGUUUGAAGCUCCAAAAAGGGGUAUGUCGUGGGGAAAGACGCACAAAAUUGGGCAUCUCUGGGUGUUAUGCACAAAUGUGUACAAACCCUGUAUAUUAGGAGAAAUGCAUAAUUAUUUUUGUACGGGCUUCAUUAAAAAAAAACGGAAACUGACUCACCAAGCUUCAGGUCAGAAAAAAUGAAAAUGGAAUGGAAUAGAAUUACAGUUGACUGAUCUCAGUAUAUUUGUAGGAAUAAUAAAUAUGGCAUUUAAACAAUA